ensembl:lncRNA
CGCGCAUCAGUGUAGCGCGUGGGGCGCGUUUGACUCGCGAAAAAAACCACGCGGGUGAAUUUUUGUGUUGCAUUUUGUGCAUACGCGUGUUUCGCCUCUACCGCUCGAGUUGGAAAAUCUGAACUCCAGCGUCAAAUCGCGCCGCGACAACCAAUCAGGAGCCUGGUGACGUGGCUGUGACCUAGGUCAAAGGGGCAGAUCCAGCCAAAACCCUUCAUUCUUUAAUGGAGGGAAGGCUAAUCAACGCCGUAGCAAACAACCCGGAGCUGUACGACACCAGCUGCUUUGUGUACCGAGACAGGAAUAUAAAGGACCGAGCUUGGAGGAAGAAAUGUGAAGAGAUCGGGCAACCUGAACCAGCUGAUUCUGCAGCAGAGCAUCCCCUGUUGCUUCUCCUUGCUCCCCAGUCCCUGAGCUCCUGCUGCUGCACCCACAGGCCUAGAGAGGAGGACAGCUCCGAGGCAGCUGAGGGACUGGUCCCAGGACGGUCCAUCGGUGGUGGAGCUGGCCAUCCUGGUGUCCCUGAAGAGGCCACGCCAGUCUCCAAUGGCGCAUUUCCUCCUCAGCCUUGUUCCUGCUCUGGAGAGCAGCUGGGUCCUUUUUAUUCCUGUCUCUCUGUAAAUACUUAUAUUUUAUAUAUUUAUGUUUAAUGUUUUUCUGUUUGAGAAUUUUAAUAUUAUUUCAAAUAAAUUUUUUAUAAUGACUAAUGUCUCAGUUCUACUACACAGCAAAUGUUGGCACACGACUUGACACAUGUAGAAUUUAUUUCAUAUUAUACUAAUGACAGAAUAUACUAAUACAGUGGGAUGCAAAAGUUUGGGCAACCUUGUUAAUAGCCAUUAUUUUCCUGUAUAAAUCGUUGGUUGUUACAAUAAAAAAUGUCAGUUAAAUAUAUCAUACAGGAGACACACACAGUGAUAUUUGUGUUAAAUGUGAUAAAUCAAGCAGGUGCAUAAAUUUGGGCACCACAAAAAA